AUUGAACGCUGGCGGCAGGCCUAACACAUGCAAGUCGAACGAGCGGCGGACGGGUGAGUAAUGUAUGGGGACUGCCCGAUAGAGGGGGAUAAAUACUGGAAACGGUAGCUAAUACCGCAUACUAACGGAGAACCCAUAUGGGAUUAGCUAGUAGGUGAGGUAAUGGACCACCUAGGCGACGAUCCCUAGCUGGGCUGAGAGGAUGAUCAGCCACACUGGGACUGAGACACGGCCCAGACUCCUACGGAGGCAGCAGUGGGGAAUAUUGCACAAUGGGCGCAAGCCUGAUGCAGCCAGGCCGCGUGUAUGAAGAAGGCCCUCGGGUUGUAAAGUACUUUCAGUGGGGAGGCGUUACCGACAGAAGAAGCACCGGCUAACUCCGUGCCAGCAGCCGCGGUAAUUC
rnacentral:rRNA from 1 species